UACACCAGCUCAGUUGAAAGCUUGUACAGAUCACCUGAAACAGCAUGCAAUAAUUUCAUGAAAUCGUACUGGAAGAGGAAAAGGACAAUUUCACAGCAAAGGGCUCACCAUUCCAGACCACAUUCAUUUUGCCUAAAUCUGGCCAAAGAAGGACUGUGCAUGAUUAGUAUAUACAAUAGCAUUUGGUCCUGGGCCAAGCUCUCCUCCACCCAAUACCAGCACUGCUCAAUGUUGCGGUUUUUGUUAACCCACUUCUUCCAUUCUACUCUCAGCUUUACAAAGAGUUUGAAAUUUUGGGACAAAAUUGCUUUCUCUCAUAUCAGACUGAACAAAGCAGCUAUGUCCAGAGAUAUGCUUCCCUAUGAAAAGGAAAAUUAAUCUUCACGUUUUUAUUUAUGGAGGACAAGUUGGUACUUACAUGCAUCCCUGCCUCAUUGCCAGGGCAUACUGUAAUACCAGCAUUGAGAUGCAACCAGACCAGGCUCCCCUCCAGUCUGUUCUCUGAGCCCAGCCAUCUCUCGAGAAGCCUUGAUCCAUCCAUAAAGGUGUGAUCACCACCUGAGGUUGAGCAUCUCACCAGCUUGGUCCAGCUCUGCCUGCAGAAAUGUUGCAGAAUGCGUCUCAGCCAGGAACAGUUCCCACCACUUCCCAUCAAAGCAUCC
ensembl:lncRNA